GAUCAUUAUAGAAACAUACGUUUGGGGGUUCGAAGCACUGGCUUUCCCGAAAGAAGGGGGAGGCAUGUGCGCGCCCCUGAUCCCUUUGUCUCACAAAUACACCUGUGCACCUAGCGAGCGCCUCCCAUAUCGGAGCCGUCCUGAUGUAGAACCCUUUCGGGGGGGAGUCGGGCCCGGGGCGUUUCCUCUUUCUUUUUACACCAUCGCCUGUUCAAACGCAUGUCUUGAAAAGCCCUACGGGGCGAAAAGUGAAAUACAACUUUCAACAACGGAUCUCUUGGCUUUCGCAUCGAUGAAGGACGCCGCGAACGUGCGAAACGUAAUGUGAAUUGCAGAAUUCAGUGAAUCAUCGAAUCUUUGAACGCAUCUUGCGCUCCUUGGUAUUCCGAGGAGCAUGCCUGUUUGAGUGUCGUGAAACCACCUCGACCCUCCCCCUUACCUUCAUCGGAAAGGGUGGGGUUUGGAUUUGGACGCUUGCGGCAAACGGAACCUUAUCUUCCCUGCCGCUCGUCUUUAAAUGCAUCAGCUGGUCCCUCGAAGUCGGUCCAAUGAAACGGUGUGAUAAUUAAACGCUUCGUUGACUGUGGCGCCGUUUUGUGCCGACUCGUGUUUGGGGGUUCGCUUACAGUCGUCUUCGGACAGUUUGUUGUCGUCUGACCUCAAAUCAGGUAGGACUACCCGCCGAAC
rnacentral:rRNA from 1 species